CCUACGGGAGGCAGCAGUGAGGAAUAUUGGUCAAUGGCCGGAAGGCUGAACCAGCCAAGCCGCGUGAGGGAGGAAGGCGCAGAGCGUCGCAGACCUCUUUUGCCGGGGGACAAAAGGCCGGACUCGUCCGGUCCUGAGGGUACCCGGAGAACAAGCAUCGGCUAACUCCGUGCCAGCAGCCGCGGCAAUACGGAGGGUGCGAGCGUUAUCCGGAUCCAUUGGGUUUAACGGGUGCGCAGGCGGGCCUGUAAGCCGGCGGUGAAAUCGCGGGGCGCAACCCGCGGACGGCACAUGAUACUGGGAGACUAGAGUGAGGGAGGGGGGACCGGAAUUCUCGGUGUAGGAGUGAAAUGCGUAGAUAUCGGGAGGAACACUAGUGGCGAAGGCGAGUUCCUGGACAUUAACUGACGCUGAGGCACGAAGGCCAGGGGAGCGAAAGGGAUUAGAUACCCUAGUAGUC
rnacentral:rRNA from 1 species